GAAGAUGGGCACGGAUGUUAGCUCAGGGCCAGUCUUCCUCAGCAAAAAGAGGAGGACUGGCAGUAGUUAGCUCAGGGCUAAUCUUCCCCCCCCACCCCAAAAGAAGAAGAAAACCCAAUAAAGGGUUAGAAGAUUAAGUUGAGCAAAUCUCUUCUGAAAGUAGAAAAAUAGGAGAGAAAACAAAAUCAUGAAACUAGCCCAGGUAGUCUAAUAUCUGACUAUCAGGCAUUCAGAAAGGACAAUAACAAAGAAAAUGAUAGAAUAUAAUCCACUAAAUAAUUUCAAGAAAAAUUCUCCAAAUGGAAAGACAUGAGUUCCCAGAUUGAAAAACUCAGUGUCCAGACAAAUGAAUGAAAAUAGAUCCACAUGGAGACAACCCAUGUGAAAUUUAUCUCAAAUAUCUGGAGCAUCAAGGAGAAAAUUGUAGAAUUCCAGGCAGAGAGAGAGAAGCAAUAAUAACAAAAAAAUCCCCAAAAUGAAAAUCAUGGCCUGUGUAAAAGAAUCAGGAUGAUGAGACACUUCUCAAAAGAAAUAGUAAUUUUGGAAGCUAGAAGAUCGUGGAGCAACGGCUACAAAAUUCUGGAGGAAACUAAAAUUUCCAAUCAAGAAUUUUCUUCUCAGACAUGCAAUUAAUGAAUGUGAGGCUAGAAUAAAGAAAUUUUCAGACAUGUGAGGUCCCCCAAAUUUUACCUCUCCAUAACCCUUCUGAAGAAGUUACUAGAAGAUGUGCUCCAUAAAAAAAAAAAAAACUAGAAAGAAAAAGAAGUGUGUCAGAGACAAGGCAAUGUGUCCACCACCACACCAUUUCCUCUUCCCAGCACACAGGAAGACUACAUAUCCCAGCAUCCCUUGCAGUUAUAUUGGAGCCAUAUGACUGAAUCCUGGACAAUGGAAUAUGGGCAGAAGUGAUGUAACCCUCCCCAUCAGGUCUGGAUAUAAAAAUACCCAGAAUGAUCUUCUGGUCUCUCUCUUCCAUGGUCACUUUGAGGUCUUGUGUUCCAGAUGGCUUUCUAUGAGAUGGAGAGCCACCUGAUCUGCACUGGAUAGUGACAUGAGUGAGAAAUAAAGAAUUAUUAAGUUAAGCCACUGAGAUAUGGGGUUUUUCUGCUGUAGCAACUAAUGUUGCUUUCUCACACUCCUAGAAAGUGGGUGCUGAUGUAAGAGAAACUUAAACUAUGUGGCAUUUGUUGAGUGGCUCAGCGGCAGGCAGCAAAGGAACUGAUAUCAGAAAUUGGGAAGAUGGGGACCCAAGUUAUGCAGCAGCAAACAUUCGAUAAAACUCUCACGUGCUGUGAUAUGGGAGCCAGUGGCCUGAGGAGAACUGAUUACAAAGAACCCAAGUGUUGGUGGGUGUUGGCCACUCUGGGACUCAUUUAUCAAGUUGUCAAAAGAAACAGACAGCCUAAGGAAAUAACUGGCUGGUCUGCAAGGAAAAAUAAAAGGAAAUAAAAAAGGGGCAGAAAUUUGGGCCCAGAAAGCCGUCUUCUUAUAAACCACAAAAGUUCAUAGGUGCCAGAACAAGAGAGUUGGAACCAAUGGAGAUUAUUGCUGUGGGUUGUCUUCUGUUUACGCAGUUGAAAAAGAAUAAAACGGUUUGGUGAUCAGCAUAUUGGAUUAAACAAGAUAACAACAAUAACAAAAAACUCACGUCAAAGUGGCAUCUGUCUUGGUUUGAACUGCCUUCCUCUCUGCACUUGGCUGUGACCCAGCUUCAAGUUCUUCUGCGGUAGGCCCCUGAAGAU